UGUCCUUUACCUGGGUAGAGUGGCACCUGGUUUGGUGAUACUUGUCUUGAAUCAGCCAGGGACAGAAAAACUCCUUGUUUAUCCCAGCUUGGCUUUAGGUCUGUGCCCAUGCCUGGCUAAUGCCUUGGACCAUGUG
ensembl:snoRNA small nucleolar RNA SNORA48